rnacentral:rRNA from 1 species
GGACGGGUGAGUAACGCGUGAGAAUCUGGCUUCAGGUCGGGGAUAACAGUGGGAAACGACUGCUAAUACCGGAUGUGCCGAAAGGUGAAAGAUUAAUUGCCUGAAGAUGAGCUCGCGUCUGAUUAGCUAGUUGGUGUGGUAAGAGCGCACCAAGGCGACGAUCAGUAGCUGGUCUGAGAGGAUGAUCAGCCACACUGGGACUGAGACACGGCCCAGACUCCUACGGGAGGCAGCAGUGGGGAAUUUUCCGCAAUGGGCGAAAGCCUGACGGAGCAAUACCGCGUGAGGGAGGAAGGCUCUUGGGUUGUAAACCUCUUUUCUCAAGGAAGAAUGCAAUGACGGUACUAGAGGAAUCAGCAUCGGCUAACUCCGUGCCAGCACCCGCGGUAAUACGGAGGAUGCAAGCGUUAUCCGGAAUGAUUGGGCGUAAAGCGUCCGCAGGUGGCUGUGCAAGUCUGCUGUUAAAGAGCAAAGCUUAACUUUGUAAGAGCAGUGGAAACUACACAGCUAGAGUGCGUUCGGGGCAGAGGGAAUUCCUGGUGUAGCGGUGAAAUGCGUAGAGAUCAGGAAGAACACCGGUGGCGAAGGCGCUCUGCUAGGCCGCAACUGGCACUGAGGGACGAAAGCUAGGGGAGCGAAUGGGAUUAGAUACCCCAGUAGUCCUAGC